rnacentral:rRNA from 1 species
UACGUAGGGGGCAAGCGUUGUCCGGAUUUAUUGGGCGUAAAGAGCGUGUAGGCGGCCAGACAGGUCUGCUGUGAAAACUCGAGGCUCAACCUCGAGACGCCGGUGGAAACCGUCUGGCUAGAGUCCGGAAGAGGAGAGUGGAAUUCCUGGUGUAGCGGUGAAAUGCGCAGAUAUCAGGAGGAACACCGGUGGCGAAGGCGGCUACCUGGACCAGCACUGACACUCAGACACGAAAGCGUGGGGAGCAAACAGG